rnacentral:ncRNA from 1 species
AAGAUACCCGCAGGAGAGUGCUUCUUAAGGAAGCCGCCGAAGGCGCAUAGCCCGUAAACGCUCAGGCAAAAGGACUGUGGGUGAUGG